rnacentral:lncRNA from 1 species
UCAAGGCAAGUACUUUCUGAUAUCUUUGCACAGUUCCUACUGAACAUACAGUUAAGAAGCAACAUUGCCCAGCUCUGUCCCAAGUUUAAUUUUAAAAAAUUUCAUGGCUACUAACCAAAAUCAUGAAACUAUAGCAUCACACAGAUCUCUCAUGCCUUUUUUGUUUGUUUUCUUUUCCUCCUAUUUUAGCUCCCUCCAUCACUCAGUGAGACAAUAGGAGAUUUCUACUUUGGAGCUGCGAAGUUUAAUGAAGAGAAAGAACAAAAGGAGGAGAAGUUGCUGUAAGACUCGAAUAACAUCCGCUGCACCUUGUCAAUGCUCUAACUGGACAUGAAGGAAAGGGGUGAGGGAGGGGGUGGGAUUCUCAGUGCAAGUAGCACAUGGUUUAAAUAUGAAUGACUGAACCUGUGAUCUAGUCCUUGUCCUGUAAUUGUGGAUUAAUGUCAGCGUUAAUCAGCCCCUGAAAGGGAGAGAAAAGCUGGACCUUUUCCCUUGCUGUACCACAUUCAGCAUUUGAUUCCAUGGGCUCCGCCAUUUAUGUGUAAAAUUUGAAAUGGUUGUCACCUCUCUCUGAGGAGUGAGCUUGAAGCCUCCACACUGGCAGCUGUUGGUGAUUCAAAGCUUCAGCCUGGCCAGGAGGGAAGCUGGCUGAGCUGGCUCAAGAAUGAGGACCGCUGCACUGGACUCUCCGUUAAUCUCCAAGGGGUUGUUCCUUCCCCCAGGAACAUUUCUGAACAAUGGGGACAUUGUUGGUAGCUGUUUGGUAGAUGUUCUUUUCUAUUUAUAAGUGACUUUAAACUUUCCCUUGGCUGUUAAGAAGUUUGUUAUAGAUUUAGCUAUUUAUUGUUUGAUGCCUGCAUGCUGAAACAAUGCUUACAGUUGUCUUCACGUGUAUGGAUGUGUGAAUAGUUGUAUGUUUUGCACAUUUUGUGGCUGUUGGGAUGUGCUUUGCUGCACAAAAAUGAAAAACUUUUUGAGUUUUGAUUUGGAGUAUAACUGGAGGGUGGGUAGGGGUGGGCUGGACUUUUAAAAUGUUAAAGACAGGGAAGGAUUAUAAGAUGGAAACAUCCCAGAGGUAGAGAAAUCAUGAAGGUCACUUUUCUUAGAUUCACCACCUUUUUCUGGGGUUUCACGAUGGGGGGGGUAUGGUCAAGCUGGUGGCUAAUGAGAUGAAGGAGGAGUCCUUCUUUCUGCCUUUCUCCUUCCCAUCUGAUUUACCCAACGUCAGUCUCAGCUGCUGGAAUUUGGAAAGGACCAAAUUGUUUUGCAGUUUUUUUUUUUUUUUCUUUGUGUAAUAUCCUGCAGUCCUGGAAAAUUCUAUGGAAUAGUUCUGUAUAUAGGGUACAGGUAAAGACAUUGUCCAAAGUUUAUUUAUUUAUCUAUUUAUUACCCUAUAAGAAUGCUUUGUUGUGUAACCACAGUUAAUGGGAACAACCUAAAAUGUCACAAUGUAUAUUAAUUCACUGACCACAUUUGCUUGAUCUGGACUUAUUGUUCUCUGUUCUUGCUGUAGAAUUUAGCAAAUGCUAGAAGUUCUUCAGAAAACAUUCACAUUGGUACAGUGUACACAUUAGUGCCCACCCUUAGGUAAAUGUUGAAAAAAAACUCUUUGGUAUACAAAAGUGACACAUUUGGUCACAAAACACCAAAGAAUUGUAAGCAGUGGCCCUGUGGAGAGGUUUUCCAGGCUGGUUGGGAAUCAGUUGUGAAUACCUUCUUUGCUUGUUGGAGUGCUUGUUUAAUAAACACGUGCUGUGGUAGCUCUUAGUGCUAGAUUUGAGUAGGUGCUUCUUCAGAGGUGUCUGGGGAAGACCAGAGUUUGCAGCUCGGUCUGCUUUGGUCCAUGUUUCUCACACUGCUGUAUUUUAGAAAAUAGGGUUUAAGGCUGAUAACAACCUUUUACAUUGUGUGUUUGCAUUGUCUAAUGACAGAAAAAUCCUUAACAUUUCUCUCCACCUCGGUACUUCAGACUAAUUGUACAUGUCCGUCCUUGCCAUGAAUAAGUGGGCUCUAGUUGGACCAAAAUAAAAUAAAUGAGCUGUUGGAAUAAAAGAAUCACAUUACUGUCCAGCAGCUAGUCGUGGUUCCUAGAUGUGUUCUAAGCGAUGCAAAUGUCUAAUUGUACUCUGUCAGCAUAGUCGGUGUUGAUCUGUUGUAGCAGUUACAGCUCUGUAGUUUAUGAUGCAAAUCUGUCCAGAGAUGUAUGUGUCACUGCAUGACUUCUGAAAGCAGGAAGAAUUUUCUGCAGCUGUUUCAAAGUUGGGGCCUGUCCUUGAAUCCUCCAUUAAUUACUGUGUGUGAGCCAGAGGGAGCCACCGUAAGGGUGGGCCCCCAGCCUGCAGGGAACUUUCUGGACUCCUGCUCUUUGAAUUGAUGUAGGCAUUUGUGCUCGCUACUUGACCAUUCUCACCCUGUGAAACGUCCCACACUUUGAAGCAAAUACAAUUCACAGCACAGUACAUACAAAAACCUUGGCAUAAGACAGAGAAGGUUCUUCUCAUUUUGUGAGCUGGUUGCUGUAGAAACAGAUAACAAAGGGCAGCCUUCCACUUCUGGUAUAAUUGUGUAGCCCCUUUUCUCUGGACUUGACACCUGUCUGAAUAAGAGUGAUUAGAGCUGCAUAAUAUCCCUCUCUUGGCUAUUGAAUAUGUGGUUCACGUACAGAACUCUGUAUAAGUUAGUAAAAUGUUCGUGUUCAUAUGUACUUGUUUGCUACUACUACAUUUUUGAGGUUUUGUAAAACAUUUUUUUUUUCACAAUGUGAAACUGAAGGUCAAUAAAUUAUUAGAGAUUUUCUCUUCA